rnacentral:rRNA from 1 species
UACAGAGGUCCCAAGCGUUGUUCGGAUUUACUGGGCGUAAAGCGUGCGCAGGCGGCUUUGCAAGACAGAUGUGAAAUCCCCGGGCUCAACCUGGGAACUGCAUUUGUGACUGCAUGGCUGGAGUGCGGCAGAGGGGGAUGGAAUUCCGCGUGUAGCAGUGAAAUGCGUAGAGAUGCGGAGGAACACCGAUGGCGAAGGCAGCCCCCUGGGCUAGCACUGACGCUCAGGCACGAAAGCGUGGGGAGCAAACAGG